CAUCUUGCAGCUAGAUUCCUCCACGCGCUACUAAACAACGCUCCAGUUUCCUUUCGACAAGCUUCGUGCUCGCGUAUCAAAGCAGCCUUCUUGAUAUAUUUCAGCCUUCAGCCUGAGGGCUGACCGUGUGCAUCUCACAUUGUUUGAAUCGAUAUGUAUGAUUUGGACUCGAACAGGAGAUCGGACAAGAAAUAAUUCCCACUGCUCGAGUUUCCAAUCCAAUAAAUGCUCUCAUUGCAUGCUGAAUCCGAUGAAUUC
rnacentral:lncRNA from 1 species